CCUACGGGAGGCAGCAGUGAGGAAUAUUGGUCAAUGGCCGAGAGGCUGAACCAGCCAAGUCGCGUGAGGGAAGAAUGUCCUAUGGAUUGUAAACCUCUUUUGUCAGGGAGCAAAGUCACCCACGUGUAUGUGUUGGAGAGUACCUUAAGAAAAAGCAUCGGCUAACUCCGUGCCAGCAGCCGCGGUAAUACGGAGGAUCCGAGCGUUAUCCGGAUUUAUUGGGUUUAAAGGGAGCGUAGGUGGAUGGAUAAGUCAGUUGUGAAAGUUUGCGGCUCAACCGUAAAAUUGCAGUUGAGACUGGUAGUCUAGAGAACAGUAGAGGUAGGCGGAAUGUGUGGUGUAGCGGUGAAAUGCUUAGAUAUCAUGCAGAACUCCGAUUGCGAAGGCAGUUUACUGGACUGCUACUGACACUGAGGCACGAAAGCGUGGGUAGCAAACAGGAUUAGAUACCCCAGUAGUC
rnacentral:rRNA from 1 species